rnacentral:rRNA from 1 species
CACGGGGGGAGCAAGCGUUGUUCGGAAUCACUGGGCGUAAAGGGCGUGUAGGCGGUCAGGUAAGUGAGAUGUGAAAUGCCUCGGCUCACCCGGGGACCGGCAUCUCAUACUGCUUGGCUUGAGUACGGGAGAGGAUGUGGGAAUUCCUGGUGUAGCGGUGAAAUGCGUAGAUAUCAGGAGGAACACCGGUGGCGAAGGCGCACAUCUGGCCCGAUACUGACGCUGAGGAGCGAAAGCCAGGGGAGCAAACGGG